UUGCUAACGCGGGGGUCCUGCGUUGCGCCAUUCGGAAUGCGGCGCAUCGCGGGUGAGAAAUACCCUUUGAACCUGAUCUGGAUAAUGCCAGCGCAGGGAAGCGUACGGGCCUCGCCA
rnacentral:ncRNA from 2 species